UUGCAGUUUGAAUUUAUAUUUUAUUAUUUUGAAAUACAAAAAUUUAAAAACAUUUCAAAAUACACCAGUACAUGUUUGUUGUAAAAAUUUCACCUAGGAGGAUAUAAAAUAGAAAAGCCGAAUAUUCCUUCUAACUCUCCCCUCUACCUCAAUUCCCUUCAGAGGUAACACAGCAAAAAAAAACUGGGGAAAAGCAAACAACUUUCCAGACCUCUACUAUUCUAAAACACAAAGAGCAUUACAGCUUGCUAUGCAUUUUUUUUUUUGGGGGGGGGGGGUUGUUUUUUAGAGACGGAGUCUCCCUCUGUCACCCAGGCUGGAAUGCAGUGGUGUGAUCUCGGCUCACUGCAACCUCCACCUCCCCAGUUCAAGCGAUUCUCCUGCCUCAGCCUGCCGAGUAGCUGGGAUUACAGGCACGCGCCACCACGCCCAGCUAAUUUUUGUAGUUUUAGUAGAGACAGCGUUUCGCCACAUUGGCCAGGUUGGUCUCAAACUCCUGACCUCAGGUGAUCCGCCCUACUCAGCCUCCCAAAGUGCUGGGAUUACAGGCGCGAGUCACUGCGCCCAGCUGCUAUACAUUGUUAAACCUUUUGCUUUCUAGUUAAUAUGUCUUAGAGAUCACUGCAUGACCACAGUGCAGCAUCGCUUCAUUCUUUCCAACAGUUGCAUAAGAUCCUGUAGUAUGGAUGUGCUACACUUUAACAGUGCUGCUGUACACAUCCUGUUGUGCACACCCUUGUGCCCAGGUGCACAGUUCUGUUAAAUAGAAAGAUAUGAACAGGUUGAUGCCUCUAUAUAUGAUGCUACAUUGCCUUAAAGCCCUCUCUAGGGCUUUAAAAAGUUUUCGGAACCGUAUCUUUAACAGAGCGGACAAAUCCAGUAAGAUGACAGUUCUCAUUGCGCAGUUUGGGAAACCAGCAGGAGGAACUCAGGAGUGGAUGACUUUAGGGGUAAAAGGUAUAGAAGAAGCAUGAACGAAUGUGUGAAUUUGUUGAAAGAAAAUGAUGUCUUUGAAUUUCCACAAGAAUGUUGCAAUUUCAUUUUUAAAUUUCGUAACAAAGGACCAGGCUUAGCUAAUAGUAUAACUAACAUUUAGGCCUGUGAAUACUCCCAAGCUAUGAGGGGACCCUUCAGUCAAAUAUUCACUGAGCAUGUGAGGGCCAGGCCCUGGGAGCUUACUUUUCAAAAGUGUACCAUAAACCAGCUGCCAAGCGAGAAGCUCCCCUGCUCCUGCCUGACAUCCCCGCUUGUAAUGCUGGCCUGGGUCCUGCCUGUCCACUGGUCACUCGAGUCACCAUUCUCCAGCUCCCCACAGACCAGCCUGGGCCCACCUCCUUGCCCUACUGCCUUAGGCUACUCCAACCUAGUAGUAACAGUUUUUGGGGUUUUUUUUUUUUUGAGACAGGGUCUUGUUCUGCUACCCAGGCUGGAGUGCAGUGGCAUGAUCAUAGCUCACCACAGCCUUGACC
rnacentral:lncRNA from 10 species